UAAGGAGGGGGCUAGCGUUGUUCGGAAUUACUGGGCGUAAAGCGCGCGUCGGCGGACAGGUUAGUUGGGGGUGAAAUCACGGGGCUUAACCCCGGAACUGCCUUCAAUACUGCCAGUCUUGAGUUCGAGAGAGGUAAGCGGAAUUCCUAGUGUAGAGGUGAAAUUCGUAGAUAUUAGGAAGAACACCAGUGGCGACGGCGGCUUACUGGCUCGAUACUGACGCUGAGGCGCGAAAGCGUGGGGAGCAAACAGG
rnacentral:misc_RNA from 1 species